rnacentral:ncRNA from 1 species
UUAAUGGGAUAUAGUGUUUGAACAGAACCCUUUCCAAAUGUCCUCGUUCCAAUAAUUAUUGCUCUAUUAUGAUCCUGAAGUGCUCCAGCUACAAUUUCUGAAGCUGAAGCUGAGCCACCAUUAACUAGUAUAAUUAGCGGUUUUCCUUCUAUGAAAUCACCUUUUUUUGCAUCAAAAGAGUUAAUUUUUUCUUCGAAUCUAGGCCUUUUUGUAGAAACAAUUUCUCCACUAUUAAGAAACAUAUUAGUUACUUCUAUUGCUUGUCUUAAUAAUCCACCUGGAUUU